UUGUAAUGAUGUUGAUCAAAUGUCUGAUCUGAAAAGAGCAUGUAGACAAAUGUGUACUGAAGAA
rnacentral:snoRNA from 14 species